AUCCAGCUGACGAGUCUCAUAUAGGAAGAAGUGUGCGUCCUGGAU
rfam:Schistosoma mansoni strain Puerto Rico chromosome 3, complete genome